rnacentral:rRNA from 1 species
CAGUCGCCGCGGGAAUACGUAGGGUGCAAGCGUUAAUCGGAAUUACUGGGCGUAAAGCGUGCGCAGGCGGUUCUAUAAGACAGAUGUGAAAUCCCCGGGCUCAACCUGGGAACUGCAUUUGUGACUGUAGAGCUGGAGUGCGGCAGAGGGGGAUGGAAUUCCGCGUGUAGCAGUGAAAUGCGUAGAUAUGCGGAGGAACACCGAUGGCGAAGGCAAUCCCCUGGGCCUGCACUGACGCCCAUGCACGAAAGCGUGGGGAGCAAACAGGAUUAGAUACCCGCGUAGUCCCUGUCUCUUAUAC